GAUGAACGCUAGCGGGAGGCUUAAUACAUGCAAGUCGAACGGUAAGGUCUUUAGCUUGCUAGAGAUACACGAGUGGCGAACGGGUGAGUAACGCGUACACAACCUACCUUCAAGAACGGGAUAGCCCUGGGAAACUGGGAUUAACACCGUAUAGUAUUACGAGAUUGAUGAUAUUGUAAUUAAAACUGAGGUGCUUGGAGAUGGGUGUGCGUUAGAUUAGCUAGUUGGUGAGGUAACGGCUCACCAAGGCGACGAUCUAUAGGGGGCGUGAGAGCGUGGACCCCCACACGGGUACUGAGACACGGACCCGACUCCUACGGAAGCAGCAGUAAGGAAUAUGGACAAUGGGCGCAAGCCUGAUCCAGCCAUCCCGCGUGCAGGAAGACGGCCCUAGGGUUGUAAACUGCUUUUGUACAGGAAGAACCCUUGGAAUUCAUCUGAGGCUGACGGUAC
rnacentral:rRNA from 1 species